CGCAGCUUACUGCAAGGAUUGUUUUCCCGGAAUGCAAACGGACUGGACCAGACAUCGGUAGAAGGUAGGAUCAUGAUUUAAUUUCUACUCAAAAAAGGUUACAAACAAAAAGCGCUCACAGCGGAGGCACAACUUGGCUAAGGAAACAAAACUAUCACUUUGACGUAAACUAUGUAAAACAAACAACACUUACUGUGACAUGAGCAGAGCAGCAUGAACUAUGAACAAGAAUACAAGCAUGGAACUAUCCUGAAAAGAGCAAGAACAGAGUAAUGUCGCCAGGACGACUGACCGGCAAUGGCAGGCUUAAAUAAUGCCUCUGAUUAGUGCUCGGGAAGCAGGUGAGCGGGCGAGCACUAAUCAGAGACAGGUGAACACAAUGAGUAGCGACAGGUGUGAUCCAAACAAAUGAGGCAGGUAAACUAAUGAGUCGCCAUGGUGACAAAACAAACAAGGAAGCGCAGAUGGUAACUAAAGAAGUCCAAAACUAACAGAACACAACUAAACAAAACAUGAUCCAGACCACAGAUUAUGACACAGCCACGCUUCCGUCAGUCUGCCCCAGGGCAGCUGUGGCUACAAAUGUAGCUUACCACCAUUGUUGUGUGAAUGUGCAGUGAGCGCUUUGAGUAUCUAGUUGAUAGAAAAGCGCUAUAUAAAUCUAAUCCAUUAUUAUUAAUAUUAUUAUUAUCAUCCUCUCGCAAGAUACGAUCUUUGGUCAUGCAGAACUGAACUCGCUACAACUCUAGACAACAUCGUUACACAAUGAAGUCCACUUUUACUUUAAAGGCCUACUGAAAUGAAAUUUUCUUAUUUAAACGGGGAUAGCAGAUCCAUUCUAUGUGUCAUACUUGAUCAUUUUGCGGAAUUGCCAUAUUUUUGCUGAAAGCAUUUAGUAGAGAACAUUGACGAUAAAGUUCGCAACUUUUGGUCGUUGAUAAAAAAGCCUUGCCUGUACCGGAAGUAUCAAUCAAUCAAUCAAUGUAGCGUGACGUCAAAGGUUGUGGAGCGCCUCACAUCUGCACAUUGUUCACAAUCAUGGCCAGCAGCAGCGAGAGCGAUUUGGACCGAGAAAGCAACGAUUACCCCAUUAAUUUGAGCGAGGAUGAAAGAUUUGUGGAUGAGGAAACUGAGAGUGAAGGAUUAGAGGGCAGUGGAAGCGAUUCAGAUAGGGAAGAUGCUGUGAGAGGCGGGUGGGACCUGAUAUUCAGCUGGGAAUGACUAAAACAGUAAAUAAACACAAGACAUAUACAGUAUAUACUCUAUUAGCCACAACACAACCAGGCUUAUAUUUAAUAUGCCACAAAUUAAUCCCGCAUAACAAACACCUCCCCCCUCCCGUCCAUAUAACCCACCAAUACAAAUCAAACACCCGCACAACACACUCAAUCCCACAGCCCAAAGUACCGUUCACCUCCGUAAAGUUCAUACAGCACAUAUAUUUCCCCAAAGUUACGUACGUGACAUGCACAUAGCGGCACGCACGUACGGGCAAGCGAUCAAAUGUUUGGAAAUCAAAGCUGUACUCACGGUAGCGCGUCUGCUAUCCAACUCAAAGUCCUCCUGGUUGUGUUGCUGCAGCCAGCCGCUAAUACACCGAUCCCACCUACAGCUUUCUUCUUUGCUGUCUUCGUUGUUCAUUAAACAAAUUGCAAAAGAUUCACCAACACAGAUGUCCAGAAUACUGUGGAAUUUUGCGAUGAAAACAGACGACUUAAUAGCUGGCCACAAUGGUGUCCCAAUAUGUCCGCACAAUCCGUGACGUCACGCGCAAACGUCAUCAUACCGAGACGUUUUCAGCAGAAUAUUUCACGGGAAAUUUAAUAUUGCACUUUAUAAGUUAACCCGGCCGUAUUGGCAUGUGUUGCAAUGUUAAGAUUUCAUCAUUGAUAUAUAAACUAUCAGACUGCGUGGUCGGUAGUAGUGGGUUUCAGUAGGCCUUUAAACAUCAUUCGAUCCGAAAUGUACUGUCAACAUAACGUUAACAUGAAAUUAUGCUGACGUCACUAAUGUUGGUUUUACAUGAUUGACAAUGAUGUGAAACGCUGUUGGUAUAAUACUGUCAUAUCAGUCAGGUGCCGCCCCGCCCUAAACACAGAACACCCGCUAUGCAAAGAGUUUCGUUAUCUGUGGGGGGCGAAGGGUGAGUUGAGUUAAGUUGAGUUUGUGUUUAUUUAGAACAUGCAUGCAUACAACAUGAUAUGUCACAAUUUCCAGUGUCUCUAUUCAACAUGUUCGAAAAAGAGUAGGAAGAAGCAGAGCUUAUUUAAUCCUACCCCUUUUCCUUUACAUAGCAGUUGCUAAAACUUUUGUUCACUUUCUGUUUCUCAAUUUAUUCACAAUAUACUCCAUAAGUAAAAACAUUAAAAAUAAAUAAAUAGAUAAAUAAUAAUUAAUGAAGUAAGUUAUAUUUCAUAUGAUGAGAUAAAUAAGAUUAUCUAGAAAAUGAAUGGAUGGAUGAAAUAAAUGCAGCAUGUUUAUCAUAGUUCUUCUUCUUUGUACUUUGUAAACACUUUAAGUUUGUAGAGUUUCUUGAAGUAGAUUAUAUUAGUACAUUGUUUGAUUUCUUUGGUUAAUCCAUUCCAUAAUUUAAUUAUACAUACUGAUAUACUGAAGGUCUUAAGUGUUGUACGUGCGUACAAAUAUUUUAAAUAAAACAUUUUCUAAGAUCAUAUUUCUUCUCUUUUGUUGAGAAGAAUUGUUGUAUAUUAUUGGGUAGCAAAUUGUGGUUUGCUUUGUGCAUAAUUUUAGCUGUUUGCAAAUUCACUACGUCGUGGAAUUUCAGUAUUUUCAAUUCAGCGAAUAAAGGGUUACAAUGUUCUCUAUAUCCAACAUUAUUAUUAUUCUAACUGAUCUUUCGAACUGAACUGAUGGGGGCAUUUUGUGUGAAUUGAAAUGCAUGUCAAAUGUAAAUUAUUGAAUGACAAGGCACUUCAUAUGAAAUUUUACCCAAAUGUAUUCCUGGACACGUCAUGAUCUGUCACUGGUUAGAAUAUUAAGAUAAAUUUCUCCUUACAGUUUUGGUGUCCCCGGUAGCAUGUGUGACUAGGACAUGAAUUAUGAAGCAACACGUUGUGGGUUCAAACCUGGGUUGCAGUUGAAGUAAAUUAAAGUUUUAAAACUCAUGUUUUAAUGAUGUCAUUGUAACGAUCGGGUUGCAUGUUUAUGUGGAGGUCAUUUUCCCAAGAUGCAGACGCACAACUCCGGACGAAGCGUGCAGGUAGGAAAUGAUUUAUUAGUAUAAAUCAUGCAGGAAAAAACAAAAGUGUGCUGAUAGCCCGGGAGGUAAAGCUAAGGAGGCUAGUGCGGGAGCUAGCAUAUAAACAGGAAUCCAAAAACUAUAAUCGUCGUUAGCUGUUGCGUGAUGCAAACAAGAAAGCCAGACUGAAUGUGGGAAGAAACGAGAAUAAAUAGCUCUCUGAUUGGUGCCCAGGAGCAGGUGAGUGUCCCAAACACUAAUCAGAGGCGGGUGAAACUAAUCUGCAGUCAUGGCAACUGAAACACAAACCCAGGGGUACAAAAAACAGAACUGAGGAAGUCAACACUAACAGGACAAAACAUGUUAUAAUACACCUAAGACCCUAACUUCAGCAUAGUCAUUAAAAAACAUAGAUUUCAAUGUAGGUUGAUUGGCAACACUAGAUUGGCCCUAGUGUGUGACUGUGAGCGUGAAUGUUGUCUGUCUAUCUGUGUUGGCCCUGCGAUGAGGUGGCGACUUGUCCGGGGUGUACCCCGCCUGCAGCUGAGAUAGGCUCCAGCACCCCCCGGACCCAGUAAGGGAAAAGUGGUAGAAAAUGGAUGGAUGGAUGGAUAGAUGAGAUACCCAUUGUUUCAGCCUUUCAAAGCUUCCCUUGGACCACCAUUGUUUGACCUCUAUAUUUGUCAAAUCCUGGUUACGGCCCUGCUCUCUCUCACACACACACACACACACACACACACACACACACACACACACACACACACACACACACACACACACACACACACACACACACACACACACACACACACACACACACACACACACACACACACACACACACACAAAUAACAUAUGUGGCUGAGCACAGAGGAAGCAGGUAAGAACACUAUAUUAGGGAGCCGGGUGCACCUAGAGCUACUUGAUGCAAUGACUUUGCCCCUUGGUGGCACGUAGCAAGGGACCAAGGAGCCAACUUGCCAAGGAACCCAUGAGACAAAGACACAGCAGCUGCAGAUCACCCAGACUUAAACUUGGAUCAAUGGAUUUAGAGUAAAGACUGCUAUCCUUUACACCACGGAACCUGCAACAAACAAAAUUAUCCUACAGUUCACAGUAUCUAAUUAGAUUAUAUGGAUUCUCAUUGAUCCUUGAGUGUGUGCCGUCUGGAAAAUGGAGGUAAAAGUUUAAAAUCAAGUCUAAAGUCACAAAUGAAAAUACUUACAACUGUGUGUAUAAGGGGGAAAUUAAUGACUGGAAAUGGGAAUUCCAAACACAAGUGUUCGUCCGGAUAUUAAACACCCAUAUAGAAAAAUCUAUAUGUUCCUGUAAGGCUGAGACUAAGGCAAAGCUGGUGGCUCACACUGGCACCUCCAAGGUGGCGAGCUGGACCGACUCACUUGUCACGUACAUAAGUCCUCUUCUGUUGUAUGAACACAUUUUCAACAUUUUGUUAUGUUACAGCAUUAUUUCAAAAUGGAAUGAAUCCAUUUUAGUCCUCACAAUACCCCAUAAUAACAAUAUGAAAUGUGUAUUUUCAAAGAUGUUUGCAAAUUAAAAAAAAUAAUCACAUGUACAUAAGAAUUCACAGCCUUUGCUCAAAACUUUGUUGAUGCACCUUUAGCAGCGAAAACAGCCUUACAUUUAUUUUUUUUAACACAAUGCCACAAGCUUGGCACACCUACCUUUGGGCUGUUUUGCCCAUUCCUCUUUGCCCAUUUCUCUUUUCAGCACCACUCAAGCUCCACCAGGUUGGAUGGGAAGCGUUGGUUUUCAUUGGACUUUAACUCUUGUUUGCUUACUCAAUGUAUUAGUAUGACACAGGAGAGCAUAGGGACAACUGAACUGUACCAAAAUCACCUUACAGAACAGGUUGUAAGCCAUGCAAGAAAAAAUACCAAACACCAGUGGAGGAGAGUUGGAAAUGCAUGAAAAAACAUAUGGAAGAAGACCUGCAGGGAUGUGCUGGGGAGAAAGAAAACAAUUAACAAGCCGUGGAUGUCAACAGACACAAUGAAAACAAUAGAAGAGAGUAGGGUUAAAAGGGACAGAAAACACAACAGCAAAACAUGAGCACAAAGGCAGAAGCACAUAGAGAGUACAAAGCUGCAAAAAAGGAGGUUGAAAAAUAAAGCGUUAAACGCGACAAAAUAAAUUAUAUUGAAGACUUGGCACAGCAAGCAGAAGUUGCAGCUUCAAGGAACAACUUGAAGGAUCUAUACCAGACCACAGAGAACCUUGCAGGCAAGUUUAGGCGGACAAACACAGAUCCGCAACAAUAGGGCCAAGUCCUGACCACCAAAGAAGAACAGCAGAAAGGAUGGACGGAGCACUUCAGGCAACUGUUCAACAGACAAUAGAGAUCCCACCAGAUGUUGAAGGUAAGCUGCAACCCGGUAACAAGAUUUAAAGUAAAGAAGGCAAUAAAGGGAUUGUGCCAUGGCAAGAUGGAAGGGCCAGACGAGAUCCCUGCAGAAGCCUUAAAAAAUAAUGCUCUAGAAACCUCAACUAUCAUGCUUCACCAGCUCAUCAAGCAGAUAUGGUAGGAAGAGAUCAUCCCAACGGACUGCAAAAACGGCCUAAUUGCUAUUGUACCCAGGAAAAGAGACCUCGGGGGUUGUAACAACUACCGAGGGAUCAUGCUGCUAUCAACACCAGGCAAAGUGUUCAAUCGCAUUAUUUUGGAGAGGCUACAGAAAGAGGUUGAUGUUGUGACGACCUGUCAUGUCAGGUGUCACAUGAUUUGUUGAUUGCUUAGUUUCUGUGUUCAUUUCCUGGUCAGCGCUUUUAUUUUAGUUCCACUUUCUGUCUCCCUGAGCGCUUUUUCUCCUUGCCUGCCGCUGAUUGGCAGCCUGGCCACACCUAGUUGUGGUUGCCAAUCAGGCUUCUAUUUAUGCCCGCCUCGCUCUCCAGUCAGGAGUCACUCGAGGAUUGUUUAAUGUUGAAUACUGUCCUUGCUGCGUUUAGGCUGUUCAUGCUUAAAUUGUGACCUUGGUUAUGCUUUUGUGCACUUCUCUGCUGCACCUCUUUGUGCUAUUUGUGAGAAUUAAAAACUCUUACCUGCACAUCUUCCUCCUGUCUCCUGCAUCUUGGUUUCCAACUAUCGCAGCGAUGUGAGUUUGUGACAGAUUUAAGACUAAGAGAGAACCAGGCUGGUUUCCAGAAUGGUACAUUGUGCAGUGACCGAAUUGCCCCCUCAGGAUCAUCAUCAAACAGUCCAUACAAUGGAACACACCUGUGUAUGUCAAUUUUAUUGACUUUGAAAAGGACUUGACAGCAUAGACUGCAUGUUACUAUGGAAGCACAUGUCUCACUAUAGGAUCCCUCCAAAAUAUGUAAACAUCAUCAAGAACACAUAGCUGGGUAUGUAAUGUUAUGUGCUCCACCAGGGAUCUGCACAUAAAAAUACCUUCUACCUUCUCUCUCUGUUUCUCUACCUCCCGUGCAUAGAUUGGAUCAUGAAACAACAUGCAAUAAAAAGAACGGCAUCCAGCGGAGUCUGACAUAACACCUUUUUCGAUCUCGACUUUGCGGAUGACAUCGCACUCCUGUCACAUACACACCAACUGACACGGGACAAGCCAACAAGGCUGAAAACAACCGCAGCUGAGCUUUGACUCAAAAUAAAUGGGCCUAAAACCUGGCGUCAUACAUUUUACAUUUAAAAACCGAUACCGAUAAUAAUGAAACCGAUACUGAUAAUUUCCGAUAUUACAUUUUAAAGCAUUUAUCGGCCGAUAAUAUCGGCGGCCCGAUAUUAUCGGACAUCCCUAUUGAAAAGGAUUCGCAAAUCAUUGUAUUCUGUUUUUAUGUACGAUUUACACAACGGGCCAACUUCACUGGUUUUGGGUUUUGUAGUUUGAACAGCGUCUUAAACUGGAAUAUAUCAAUACACUGUUUGACUUCUUUGCUUAAUCCAUUCCAUAAUUUGUUUCCACAUGCUGAUAUACUAAAUCUUUUAAGUGUUGUACGUGCAUACUAGUGUUUUAUGUUAGAUUUUUCUCGAAGGUUAUAUUUCUCCUCUUUAGUUGAGAAGAAUUGUUGUACAUUUUUUGGUAGCAGUAUAAAGUUUGCUUUGUACAUAAUUUUAGCUGUUUGCAAAUACACCAAGUCCUUGAAUACUAACAGUUUGGAUUUGAUCAAUUAAGGGUAUUUUCUCUGUAUCCAACAUUGUGUAUUAUUUUAACUGACCUUUUUUGUAACACUGUUAGUGAAUGAAGUGCACAUUUGUAGUUGUUUCCCCAUAUUUCUGCAAAAUAACUCAGAUAUGGUAACACUAGCGAGCAGUAAAGAACAUGGAGUGGGUUUUUUUGUCCAGUUCAUAUUUUGAUUUGUUCAUUAUUGAAAUAUUUCUUGCUUUUUUAAGUUGUCUAUAUUUUAUAUGAGAUUUCCAGUUCAUUUUAUCAUCUAUUAUUACUCCCAAAAAUUUGAUUUAUUUUACUCUUUCACUAGCCAUGUGUACAUGGACAACAUUUACUUAAUCUGAUCACCAUUCGGAUUAGAAUGUUCCUGUGUGCAUGGACCCUGAAAAAAAGGAUUUGAUUAUGACUUGCAUUUUCAUGCACCACACCUUAAAUCGGAAUACUUUACUUUGACAUGCUCAGAACCGAACAGAGCGGAAAGGUGUUACUAUUGUUACGGAAAGAUUAGUAUUGCAACAACGCGUCAUCAGUAGGUUAAAACUACCCUGUGUUACGACGGUCUAAACCCAACUCACAUUUGUGCUAUGGCGCCUUCUUAUAGAUUAGUCUGCUCACUGCUGGUGCUGACUAAGCAUUGACUUCCACUGUAAACAAACAUGGCUUUGUGCAUUUCUGCUUGUUCAACGUUGUCACAGUAUUUAUUUAUCUUUUUUUUCUUUUUUUUUCUGUUCACUACUUUUGUUUUACCUCUCUUUUUGAAAUGUAGCUGUUAUGUGCUUUUUAUGUUGUGAUUAUGUACGGGUUGCGGCGCGUCUUGUUUCAGCAUUAUGUGUAUGUGUUUGAGGCGAGCAGUUAACACUUGGAGUAGCUCUCAGAUCGUCAACAAAACAGCUCGUUUGUCGCGUUUGGAAUGCAUGGCUCCGAUGGUUGUGUUCCCUCCAAUGCAGAAAAACAAGCAGGAGCAGCGUGCAGGUAGGAUUGUGUUUUAAUUAUUUAAGGUAGGACAAAAAAUAAAAAUAAAAACUAAGACGCUAAACAAGCGUGGAGCCAAAAAUCUAAUUGUCACCAAGGGUGAACAGUAAGGAAUUCUCGAAUACGGAAAAAACACUUAAGUAUGGUGAAAACAGGAUGAAACGCAAGUGUCGCCGAGAGCGGUCAUUGACCCAGCAACUUGUGCUAGGUGACUGAAAUCUAUAAAGGGGAGUAAGUAAGUAAGUAAGUACAUUUUAUGCCACGGCGCGGUCUCGAACCCACAAUUCUCCUGCAGAAAGUUCCUCCAACACUCAGGCUGGCAAUAUGCCAGGAUACGCCCCUGUACGCGCCAGGCGCUUCACGCCCACGCAACGACGCAGCUGCAGACUAUUGGCAAUCAGCGCAUCUGGCAAUAAUCCGAGCGGCAGCAUAAAGACCAGUCGACCCUUGGAGCCUACGCCGGAACGUCGUUAACUCAUCGCAUAUCCUUCCUGUUGCGUGUGCUCGAGUUGUGUACCUCGACCUCCCUCCGGACUUCGGACUGCUUUCCUCGAUCCUCGACCCCCGCUUGGACACGGACCUCGUUGCUUCUCUCCAGCCCCCGACCGCUCGCCUGCCCACGGACACCCUCCUUGCCUCGCCCCUCUGGACUGACGAAGGAUCCAUCCAACACGCACUCACAACAACCCUUGGUAACAUUUACAUUGUUAAAUUUACACAUCGUACUGCACCAAACACUUAGAGUAGCAUACACCUCCCACACACUCCUCAAAGGUUACAAUAAACCUGGUAACCUGA